UUCCUGAUCCAUCCCUUUCCCGAUCCAUCCCUUUCCCCAUCCAUCCCUUUCCCAACCCAUCUCUUCUCUCCCAAUCCAUCCCUUCUCUCCCGACCCGUCCCUUUCCUGAUCCAUCCCUUUCCCGAUCCAUCCUCUUGUCAGCGCCUUGGGCAGCGAUCACUGGAGCCAAAUCCCCUCUUCCUGGGAUCUGAGCUUUCCCUGGAGUUUUCCUCCUGUUUUCUUCAGCAGGAGAGGCACCAACAAACCCUGCCAGGAGCUGCUGGCCCCAGGGAAGAGUUGGGAUGCUCCUCUGGAAUUCUGCAGCCAGGACUGAAACUCCAUCCACCAUGGGGUGGUGUAGUGAGACCUCGCUGGGAGGGAGCCCCUCGGCAGGAACACCAUCAGGAAACCUUUGGAAUCCCUAUUUUCCCAAGAUUUCCUCCUUGAAAUCCCUCCUGCAAUGCCUCGUUUGUCUCCUGCACGCCCAGGAAAGGGAGAAGCCGGGUGGAGCCUGGAGAAAUCGGGGCUGGAUCUGGCUGCGGGUCAGGGUGGGGAAUGUGCAGGGAGUUGUGGAAGAGGGGAGGCCAGAGGAAGAGAAAGGAACCAUCCGACCACGUGGUGGCAACGUGGAGAUGCUACAGAAGGAUUGCUGUGCUUCCCUGAAGGAAUUUUCACUUCACAGGAGACACCUGAAGUUAAUUCGUGGCUUUAAAGAGGACGUUAAAAGCAGGAAAUGUAAAUAUUUUCGGCUGUGUCACCUGAGCCUGUGGAUGCCCUCAGUGGCGUGGAGCAAACAAAUGGAAAAAGCAGGAUUGAUGGAUUGGCCCAUUCUGGAGGUGCUGCCGUCCCCAAGUGUCACAGGUGAGCUCUGUGCCUGUAUCCAGCAUCCACAGAGCUGCAUCCCCGUGGUCCUUGGAUGCAGGAGGAGGUGGGAGAAGCCCACAGGUAAAUAAUUUCCCAAGCUUUGGGCUGGAAUCAGCACACAGAAGGAUUGGGCAUUGAGUGCUGCAGCACUCACAACGUGCUGGUUCCAUCCUCUGCCAAGAGCCUGCAGGAAAACCUGGCACAAUUCCACACAGGCCCCAGGGGCUGCCCCUGCUCUGUUUUUCCCUCAGUACCUUCCCACAGAGCUGGUAAAUCCCAGAGAAUCUUCCUCCAGCCUUCCUCCAUCCUGGAGUGUGGCAGAGCCACUGUCCCCCCUCACACCCCCUGUGUGACCACCCAGGAAAGCUCAGCUAUCCUGAAAUGUUAAAAGCACUGAAGGUUGGAGCCCUCCCCACCCUCCCAGCCAGG